AUUGAACGCUGGCGGCAUGCUUUACACAUGCAAGUCGAACGGUAACAGGUUAAGCUGACGAGUGGCGAACGGGUGAGUAAUGCAUCGGAACGUGCCCGAUCGUGGGGGAUAACGUAGCGAAAGUUACGCUAAUACCGCAUACGAUCUGAGGAUGAAAGCGGGGGACCGUAAGGCCUCGCGCGAUCGGAGCGGCCGAUGUCAGACUAGGUAGUUGGUGGGGUAAAGGCCAACCAAGCCGACGAUCUGUAGCUGGUCUGAGAGGACGACCAGCCACACUGGGACUGAGUCACGGCCCAGACUCCUACGGGAGGCAGCAGUGGGGAAUUUUGGACAAUGGGCGCAAGCCUGAUCCAGCAAUGCCGCGUGCAGGAAGAAGGCCUUCGGGUUGUAAACUGCUUUUGUACGGAGCGAAAAGGCUCUCUCUAAUACAGGGGGCUCAUGACGGUACCGUAAGAAUAAGCACCGGCUAACUACGUGCCAGCCGCCGCGGUAAUAC
rnacentral:rRNA from 1 species